rnacentral:rRNA from 1 species
GACGAGCGCUGGCGGCGUGCUUAACACAUGCAAGUCGAACGAUGAAGCUGGAGCUUGCUCCGGUGGAUUAGUGGCGAACGGGUGAGUAACACGUGAGCAAUCUGCCCUUGACUCUGGGAUAACUGCGGGAAACUGUAGCUAAUACCGGAUACUUUCACUGGAAGGCAUCUUCUGGUGAAGAAAGAAUUUCGGUCAAGGAUGAGCUCGCGGCCUAUCAGCUUGUUGGUGAGGUAACGGCUCACCAAGGCGACGACGGGUAGCCGGCCUGAGAGGGUGGCCGGCCACACUGGGACUGAGACACGGCCCAGACUCCUACGGGAGGCAGCAGUGGGGUAUAUUGCACAAUGGGCGCAAGCCUGAUGCAGCAACGCCGCGUGAGGGAUGAAGGCCUUCGGGUUGUAAACCUCUUUUAGCAGGGAAGAAGCGAAAGUGACGGUACCUGCAGAAAAAGCACCGGCUAACUACGUGCCAGCCGCCGCCGUAAGAC